UUUCUGAUUUCUGAUUGGGCUGCUGCCCUUUUUUACCUUUUAUCUAAUUGGUCCUCCUUAACCAAUUAACUAACUUUAAAUAACCAACUUCAAAAGUUUGUAACUAUACCGUUAUAAUCCGGACUUGCAAACAGCUUUCGCCUAUGUACUUGUAACAACGAGUACUACUUAAAUACGCCAAAAGAAUAAGUCAUACAUUCCUCUAAAUGAUCGUCAAUUCUCUCGAUUAAAAUAAUAAAAAAAAAACGAAAUUUUAUGGACGGGUUGUCACAUCAACCGUUUUUUUUUUUUUUGCUUUCAUUUACACUACCAAUUCAAUUAUUCAAAAUUGGAUUUUAAUUUUAUUUUUAUAAAAUAUGAGUACAUUUAUAUAAUAAAAUUUGGCUACAUUUAUUACAUAAAUAAUUGGUACAUUUAUAUAAAAAUGUGGGUACAUUUUACAUACAAAAAAAUGUAUACAUUUUAUACAAAAAAAAGGGGCAUGUAUUAUAUAACAAAAAAUGGGUACAUUUUAUAUUACAAAAACAAUGGGUACAUUAUAUAUAUAUAAACAAUGGUACAUUUUAGAUUAAAAAAAAAAAAAGUGUUACUAGACCCACCACAGUGUCUUAUUUUCCCACCCACAUGAUAAUCACACACACCAUAAAAAGUUAAAAAAAGUUAAAUGUUAUUUUCAUACCCACCAUUAUUCCCAAUAUAGCCCUAAUAUAUUUCGUUUUAAAUAACUCUAAAAUAUCUUUAAAUGAAUGGGAAAAUUAAAGAAAAUGGAAGACCUAGACAUUAAUUGAUGUGAAAUAAUCUAACACUCAAAUUAAAACCCUAUGGUUGUAGUAUGUGUAAGUAGGGAUCGUUUUAGGCCGAAAAUUAAAAGGGAUGCUAAUCUACUCAAUUUAAACUUUAAAACACUAAACUAGACUAAAAAACACUUAACUAAACUCUAAAUACUUAAAACUGACUUAAAACACUCAAAACAACAAAACUAAGUUGAAAAGACUCAAAACUGACUCUAGGGAGUUAUUUGAACGAAUUUAAGACUAUUAAGACUCAAAACACUAAAUUGGAUAGAUUGAAACACUUUUCUAACUAAUCUAACACACUUAAUUAAAGGGGGGAUUGAUUUGGACAAAAUUAAUUAAAUUGAACAGAUUGCAAAACUAAAUCAAAUUAAGCACGAAAUCAGGUUAAUUGAAUGGUGAAAUAGGCUAGUGAUAGGAGCAUAUUUAUGCGACUUAGUUGGCUUGUUCUUGUGCAUUUAUGUCGUGUUUCCUUAGUUAUUUUAAUGUUUAAAGUCAUUUUCAUGUGUUUUCAGAUUUUAAGGACAAAGUAGGUAAGAAGAUGCAUUUUGGAGCAAAAUGGAGCUUGGAAUGCAUGUCACAUAUUUGGAACCAAGGUUUGGACGAAAUUGAAGAUUUAAAGAGGCUAAGAAUGUGAAGAAUUAGUGUACAAAGGAUCAUGAACUCAGCCACAAAAGGACACACAUCCUUGCCAUGCAAUCCACAUAGCAUUCCCUUUGGAUUCCCAUGCAUGCUUAAUCAUCCUUGUCCCCUAAAAUAUUUCUGAUUUCAUGCUCCAAUACACUCAAUUAUCACACUCAAUUGCUGCAUACCUCUUGUUCCCUUCACCCAUCUGAUUUCACACA
rnacentral:lncRNA from 1 species